UAACGUAGGGGGCAAGCGUUGGUCCGGAAUCAUUGGGCGUAAAGCGCGCGUAGGCGGCCCGGUAAGUCCGUUGUGAAAGUCAAAGGCUCAACCUUUGAAUGCCGAUGGAUACUGCCGGGCUGGAGUCCGGAAGAGGCGAGUGGAAUUCCUGGUGUAGCGGUGAAAUGCGCAGAUAUCAGGAGGAACACCAAUGGCGAAGGCAGCUCGCUGGGACGUGACUGACGCUGAGACGCGAAAGCGUGGGGAGCAAACAGG
rnacentral:rRNA from 1 species